UUCAAUCCCUGGUACCUGCCCCCCUCACCACCCCCCAAAAAGAUGUCCGCAUCCUAAUCCUCAGAACUACUAUUCAGGGCAAAAGGGAUUCUGCAGGUGAUUAAGGUUAAGGAGGACCUUGAGGUGUGGUGGGUUUGACCUAUUACAAGACCACCUUCCCCGGCUACAGGGAACCUGAGAGAAGGCAGCAUGAGGUCUUGACUUGCCAUCUCUGGCUCUGAAAAAAUGGACAGAAUCUACAGAACGUGUCUGGUUCCUAGAGAGCCAGAAACAGCGGGAACAUGUCUGUCUCUGAGCUUCUAGGGAAGAGCACUGCUUUGCACACCCUUGUUGGACUUGUGACCUACAGAACUAGCAUGCCUGCUUGUCUACCCAACCUCGACCUGGGAAAAUGACUGUAGAGAAGUGACUACAACAUCAGACUUCUAGCUACUCACAGAGGAAGCCCCAAGCACCUUGGUCUUUUGUCCCUACAUCUGGUGUGUGACCAGGGAGGCCAUUUGGCAAGAUGUGCAAGAAUACGAUGUCACAAAAACAGCCUUGAAGCAUCUUAGACCUUUGGAGACUAAUUCAUUUAAUAAAAGCCCAUAUUUACUUUCCUAUUAAAUCUUUCAUUGAAUAAGGACACUAAAACCUG